rnacentral:lncRNA from 1 species
GCUCGGAAAUUUGGAGACAAAUUUAAUGAAGCACAGAUCUUCUUAUUUUACAGACACGAUAUAUCAAACCUUUUUUUUUUUUUUUUUUAAAUAUAUCAAACUUAAACCAAACGAGUUGAUUGUAAAAACGUAAAACAAAUAGACGAAAGCUGUUGCACUAGCUGAAAUCUUUUAUCGUAUUCCUAUAUCAUAUCUUUUAUCGUAUUCCUAUAUCAUAUCUUUUAUCGUAUUCCUAUAUCAUAUCUUAUUUAAACAAUAUGACUAUUGGAAUAUUGAAAGUAGAAAUACUCCAAUAAAUGUGUCUAUCAGUAAUGGGUGUCUUUUAGUACUUUACAUAACUGUUUCUAGACAGAAGAAAAAUAUGUUUAAAUAAAGCUAUUAAAUAGAUAAGAGUGUAAAUACAGCUGCAUUGGCUAGUCUGGAAACGCAGAUUGGAAUAAAAUCAGUUCAGAUCAAAUAAAUUUCAAAUGAUUUCGAGGUUGUUUUUUUUUUCACUAAAUUUCCCAAUAACAAUAUAUCCAUAUUAAAACAUGCCAACACCUAGGUACUGUGUUUGUUAUACCUUAGGGACUAAUAGUCCACCACCAACGGUAUCUACACAGUGGUAAAGUAACAUGGAUUGGUAUCAAUCUCUCUGCACAUGUAAGAACUUUAGUUUUGUACUUUAUUUUAUACAAAAAUAGUUACCACCUGAUUCUAAAAGAACUUUUUCAUGUUCAAUCCAACAAUUCAACAAAGAAAGUAGACAACAUAAGUUUGCCAACAAAAAUCAAUAAGGCUCUGUGACAUUCCACAACUAUUCCUCAAUGUUAUACUUAUAUAUAAGUUACUUUAUGUGUCAUUGUUUUCUAUAAUAGUCCUAGACAGUAUGUCUGUCCUAGUACAUGUAUGUAAGUACAAAUAACUAAAGUAUUAUUCAUUUCUUUAGAUCUCCGAAAGUUUGUUUCAAAUUGAAUAAAAGUUCUUACCCCAAAUCUGACCUUACAAACGGCCCGAAAAAAAAACAGAAAGUAGAUUGCCUCCCUUUCUGAGAGCUAACGACCAGACUUCCGAUAUUUACCGGGUGAACAUAUUAGUUGUCAUGUUGUAAUUUAAAUGAAAAAGGUAGACUUGAAAAAAUCAAUCAGACUGUUCGAUCAGCAUUGAUCAUCAGAGCAUAAAAAAACUUGUCUCUUUAAAAAUAAAAUAGUGUCUGGGUCAUUGUGAGGUGCAAGCAGGUACAAACAGGUGUAUAAGUUACCUAUAUAGGUAAAAAUAACAAGUUUGUUAAGUUGCAGGUUAUAUGUUGAAAGCAUUUGUCAAACAAAUUGGUGUUUCUGGGGAUGAAAUAUGUAUACAGGUGAGUUUUGUAACAAAUAAAACAAAUCUAGACCACCAUGACACACCAUUGACAUAGUUGUUUAAAGGUUAGCCAAACACAGACUACAAUGUAAACUUUAAUCUCCACAGGUAAGGGGAUUAGGACAGGAAUUACUCAGACAAUUAUAUAUACCUCCAUUAUCAUAUUUCUCUAGAGAGUACUGUCAAUAUCCAAUCAACAAUUUCAGUUUUUAAUUCAACAAGGAGUUAUGGGUUUUUUUUUUCUAUACUCUGUAACCCUGAAAUAUAUUCUAAUGCUUUAACGAUUUUUUAAAACAAUUUUAGCUGAUUCCGAACUUCAAUGAAUCGACCUCAAAGAUACAUUCUAUCAAUAUUAUAGUUUGUUAACAAGACUUAAUCUUAUGUAUAAAACCAUUUGUAAACAUCAUAGAAUUCACUUUC